AUACACAUUAGUUUUAAUAAAAAUUUUAAACCUGUUAUCAGUUUAAUAUCAGAUAUGUCCUGAAUAUGAGGACUGUAUAUUAAAUAGAUUUUUGGAAUGGGGAUGGAAUAGGAGCUUGCUUUAUCCACCCCAUGCAUUGACCUGGUAUUGCAGUGUCUCCAGGAACAGUGCCUCUCCU
rnacentral:snRNA from 1 species